GCAAGCAGGAUUAGAUACCCUGGUAGUCCUUGCCGUAUACGAUGUAUACUUGAUGUAGCUAGGCUCAAACCUGGCUGUGUCGAAGCUAACGCGAUAAGUAUACCGCCUGGGGAGUACGCUCGCAGGGGUGAAACUCAAAAGAAUUGACGGGGGCCCGCACAAGCAGUGGAGCAUGUGGUUUAAUUCGAUGCAACGCGAAGAACCUUACCCAGGCUCGAAAUGUAAAGGACAUCACCAGAAACGGUGAGUUCCGCAAGGACCUUUAUAUAGGUGCUGCAUGGCUGUCGUCAGCUCGUGCCGUGAGGUGUUUGGUUAAGUCCAGCAACGAGCGCAACCCUUAUCAUUAGUUGCCAACACGCGAGGUGGGGACUCUAAUGAGACUGCCUAGGUUAACUAGGAGGAAGGUGAGGAUGACGUCAAGCCCGCAUGGCCUUUAUGUCUGGGGCUACACACGUGCUACAAUGGUCGGUACAGAAGGCAGCAAAGUCGUAAGAUGGAGCAAAUCCGAAAAGCCGAUCACAGUUCAGAUUGUAGUCUGCAACUCGACUACAUGAAGUUGGAAUUGCUA
rnacentral:rRNA from 1 species